rnacentral:miRNA from 44 species
UAAGGUGCAUCUAGUGCAGAUAG